GACGAACCGAGCGAACGUUGUUCGGAAUCACUGGGCUUAAAGGGCGCGUAGGCGGGUGCUCAAGUCCGGGGUGAAAUCCUCCAGCUCAACUGGAGAACUGCCUCGGAUACUGGGCGUCUCGAGUGUGGUAGGGGUGUGCGGAACUAUCGGUGGAGCGGUGAAAUGCGUUGAUAUCAUCUGGAAUACCGGAGGCGAAGGCGGCUCACUGGGGGUUUUCUGACGCUGAGGAACGAAAGCCAGGGUAGCGAACGGG
rnacentral:rRNA from 1 species